AUUGAACGCUGGCGGAAUGCUUUACACAUGCAAGUCGAACGGUAGAGGGGGCAACCCCUUGAGAGUGGCGAACAGGUGAGUAAUAUAUCGGAACGUGCCCAGUCGUGGGGAUAACGUAGCGAAAGUUACGCUAAUACCGCAUACGAUCUAAGGAUGAAAGCGGGGGACUCGCAAGAGCCUCGCGCGAUUGGAGCGGCCGAUAUCAGAUUAGGUAGUUGGUAGGGUAAGGCUCACCAAGCCAACGAUCUGUAGCUGGUCUGAGAGGACGACCAGCCACACUGGAACUGAGACACGGUCCAGACUCCUACGGGAGGCAGCAGGUGGGGUAAUUUUGGACAAUGGACGCAAGUCUGAUCCAGCCAUUCCGCGUGCAGGAUGAAGGCCCUCGGGUUGUAAACUGUCUUUUGGUAACGGAACGAAAGGUUUCUAUUAAUACUAGGAGCUCAUGACGGUACCGUAAGAAUAAGC
rnacentral:rRNA from 1 species